rnacentral:ncRNA from 2 species
CCUUUAUAAAGAAGAGGCGAGAGAACAGGCUCCAUGACCCUCUGGCAACCGGCCGUUCGCGUCCAAGGUGCCACAUCCUGCCCCCUAUCCGGGAACUAUAAACG